rnacentral:rRNA from 1 species
UACGUAGGGCGCAAGCGUUGUCCGGAAUCACUGGGCGUAAAGGGCGCGUAGGCGGUCGUGACAAGUCACUUGUGAAAUCUCCGGGCUUAACUCGGAACGGUCAAGUGAUACUGUCGGACUAGAGUACAGAAGGGGCAACUGGAAUUCUCGGUGUAGCGGUGAAAUGCGUAGAUAUCGAGAGGAACACCAGUGGCGAAGGCGACUACCUGGCCUGUUCUUGACGCUGAGGCGCGAAAGCUAGGGGAGCAAACGGG